rnacentral:tRNA from 1 species
GGGCCCGUAGCUCAGCUUGGAUAGAGCGCUAGCCUUCUAAGCUAGAAGUCGUGGGUUCGAAUCCCUCCGGGCCCG